UCUUGUGAUGUGACAACUGUGGAAUAACAUUUGGUCACAAAGCUGGUGUUAACAAGCACAACUGGCACUCUGGUAAUUAGACUGAUUCCUGGUCUACUUUCACAGAUUGUCGAUAAAUGCAGUAAACAACAGGCUGCUUUCUCUCAGAAGAAGUUAUAUGAAGUUGUCAUCCAUUUGAUGACCUGCAUUAGUGGAAAUCUGAACUGUAGUUUGGUGUUUCCACCCUCAUGGCAGAGUAAGAAGGAAUGAGAGCUCCUUCCCUAGGCCCUGUACCUCCUCCAAGCCCACAGCCUGGCUCUGCACAUAGGAAAAUGUGUGAAUGCUGUAACUCUGUCUCCUCCACUUGAAAGCAGAAGAAUUUAAUCAACUGAGGAGCUGAUCAUGGCUUUGGGACAGAGAGGAGGACUUGAGAGCUUCCAGGCAUCUCCUCUGCUCCAUCAGGUGCCUUUCUUCCCCAGGAGCUGCCUUCACAUCAGAGAGCACUCUGAAAGUUUUCUAGGUGUCAGACAAUCCUGGAGCCAAGAACCUCCAAACACGUUUCAUCCUCUGGUUUCCCUGAAACUUUAGUUACACCUUGAAGUUACUGGAAUACAUGUUCUGUUCAAGCAACCAUAUAUAAAAUUGCCUUGGGGAUCAGCUGAGACCUCGUGGAAGAAAUCUCAUUUGAAACAACAGGAAGGUACUUCACCUUGGCUCAAGCCACAGCACAACACAUGCCUUCUCCUCCUUCUCCAGCCCUGCUGUGAGUCAAAGGCAUUUUCAGAGCUGCUACUUUCCUGUGCUGAACAGCCUUGAGCCUCUUCCUGUUGCUCCAUCUU
rnacentral:lncRNA from 1 species